UUAAGCUGACACAAACCAGCAUUGCUGCCAAAAGAAAUACAGCCCUUCCCCUGGUUCAGCACAGCUGUUUUUGCAGCUCUGCAGAGACGUGGGUUGGGAAAUUCUUACAGUAAAAAUAGCAAACAAAAAAUAAGGCACAUUGAGUUCAUAACCUUAACCACCUUCUAGAGAUCCACUGUAAUUUAUGUCAGUGCCUAAUGGUCACCUUAUCCUCUGAGAGCAGUACUUCUUGAUUGAACUGUAUUUCUUAUGAUAAACAACUCCUUCUGUGAGGUCUGCAAGUGUUGGGCCUGCAGGAAACCAAAAGGCUCUGUAUGCUUUCCAUUAUAAUGGAGCCCUAUUCAACUAGCCACGAUAACUCUGAGAAUAACCACAUCCUUUUCCAGGGAGAAGCAGGAAAAACAGCCAGAAGUGAAGGAAAGAUGGAGCCAAGGUGGAUGCUCCGUGCUGCUGACAUCAUGAGCAGAGCUGCCCCAGCCCUGGGGACGUCCCUCUGCCCUCAGCACCGCAGCAGCAGCGUGGGCUUUGCUGGUUCUCCUGGCCCUUUUCUUCCUUACCCAGGAAAACAGCUCAGGCCGUGGCUCAGAAAGAGCCUCUCGUUGCCUCCCAAUUAAUUGCGCAGCCGAGUCUGUGCUCUUUGAUGUCACUGCUGUGAGCGCUGAUAAAAUUUGAGGAGCUUUAGAGCAUGGAAGUUGCCGCAGACAGUUUUUCUUGUUGCUUGUGUGUCAAUACCCUAUCGAGUCAGCAAUUAUCCUAAACACUUACUGCAAGCCAAUGCAAAAUAAAGGAAAAUUUUCUCAGUAAUCAUUUUUUAUAAGACUCUUCCACUGCAUCCCGCUCCCCAUGCAAAUUCAUGUGUGCUUGCUGGCUCUUAUAGAAUUCUUGGAAUUACUGUGCAGAAAUGUUCUUACAGCCAGACACUCCAAAAACUUCAGCAUUUGGACAGGAAGGACACGUCCAUCCACAGACACCUAUGACCACACAGCGCCCAGCACCACCAGCAGAAUCUGCCAUUCUGCACGAUACUGCAUCCUCUGACAUUUGCAACAGCAUGGCUCUGCAACACGAUGGAAAAAAGGUUCUGCAUUUACAAAUGCCACAGGAGUGAAGAUGAAGCAAGCAAGCACUGGCACCCAGCUGUUGGAACCAACAGCACCACGGAGCAGGGGGCGGGGGCCAGGAUUAGCAUGCUGCUCACACGCUCACCGCCUUCUCUAAUCACAAUGCAGGCAUUAUCAGCGAGCGGCGAAUCUUUGUAUUAUUUCCAAGUUUCCCCUAUUGUCAGUCAUUGUGACAAAGCGCAGGACGAUCUGACACAAUGAUGAAUCACUCCCGACAUUGAGUUUUCACGGGGCUGUCAGGCGAUCUCAGUAGGCUGCAUCACCUGGAAAUGCCACAGGAUUCAAACACAAGAACAAAAGCAGAGUUUGGGAUCAACUCCGCUGACUCGGGAUAUGAGCAGGGGAGUUGGAGGGCUGACUCGGGGUCUUCUCAUCCACACAUCUCUGUGUUCUUCCGGCGUGAAUGAAACCGCAGGGCUUAUUAAAACAUCCAGCAUGCAAAUAGGAGG
ensembl:lncRNA